rnacentral:rRNA from 1 species
UACGUAGGGUGCAAGCGUUGUCCGGAAUUAUUGGGCGUAAAGAGCUCGUAGGCGGUUUGUCGCGUCUGCUGUGAAAACUCGGGGCUUAACUCCGGGCCUGCAGUGGGUACGGGCAGACUAGAGUGCGGUAGGGGAGACUGGAAUUCCUGGUGUAGCGGUGAAAUGCGCAGAUAUCAGGAGGAACACCGGUGGCGAAGGCGGGUCUCUGGGCCGAUACUAACGCUGAGGAGCGAAAGCGUGGGGAGCGAACAGG